rnacentral:rRNA from 1 species
GAGUUUGAUCGUGGCUCAGGAUGAACGCUGGCGGCGUGCUUAACACAUGCAAGUCGAACGGAGUGCUCAUGACGGAGUUUUCGGACAACUGAUUGAGUUACUUAGUGGCGGACGGGUGAGUAACGCGUGAGUAACCUGCCUUGGAGUGGGGAAUAACAGUCGGAAACGACUGCUAAUACCGCAUGAUGCAAAUGCCUCGCAUGGGGCUGUUUGCCAAAGAUUUAUCGCUCUGAGAUGGACUCGCGUCUGAUUAGCUAGUUGGU